rnacentral:antisense_RNA from 1 species
UUUCGCGUCCGGCUUGUCCUGCAGGAGCUUGUUGCCCACCGCGUGCACCAGGUGGGUCUUGCCCAGGCCCACGCCGCCGUA